CAAUAGCGUAUAUUUAAGUUGCUGCAGUUAAAAAGCUCGUAGUUGGAUUUCGGGUGGGAAUGGCCGGUCCGCCGUUUCGGUGUGCACUUGCUACGCCCACCUUGCUGCCGGGGACGUGCUCGUGAGUUCACGCUCGGGACACGGAGUCGGCGAGGUUACUUUGAGUAAAUUAGAGUGUUCAAAGCAGGCCUACGCUCUGAAUACAUUAGCAUGGAAUAACACGAUAGGACUCUGGCCUAUCUUGUUGGUCUGUAGGACCGGAGUAAUGAUUAAGAGGGACAGUCGGGGGCAUUCGUAUUUCAUUGUCAGAGGUGAAAUUCUUGGAUUUAUGAAAGACGAACUACUGCGAAAGCAUUUGCCAAGGAUGUUUUCAUUAA
rnacentral:rRNA from 1 species